CAGUGCCGCAGCUACACAUGCAGUCGAGCGGUAGCACAGAGAGCUUGCUCUCGGGUGACGAGCGGCGGACGGGUGAGUAAUGUCUGGGAAACUGCCUGAUGGAGGGGGAUAACUACUGGAAACGGUAGCUAAUACCGCAUAAUGUCGCAAGACCAAAGUGGGGGACCUUCGGGCCUCAUGCCAUCAGAUGUGCCCAGAUGGGAUUAGCUAGUAGGUGGGGUAACGGCUCACCUAGGCGACGAUCCCUAGCUGGUCUGAGAGGAUGACCAGCCACACUGGAACUGAGACACGGUCCAGACUCCUACGGGAGGCAGCAGUGGGGAAUAUUGCACAAUGGGCGCAAGCCUGAUGCAGCCAUGCCGCGUGUGUGAAGAAGGCCUUCGGGUUGUAAAGCACUUUCAGCGGGGAGGAAGGCGUUAAGGUUAAUAACCUUGUCGAUUGACGUUACCCGCAGAAGAAGCACCGGCUAACUCCGUGCCAGCAGCCGCGGUAAUACGGAGGGUGCAAGCGUUAAUCGGAAUUACUGGGCGUAAAGCGCACGCAGGCGGUCUGUCAAGUCGGAUGUGAAAUCCCCGGGCUCAACCUGGGAACUGCAUUCGAAACUGGCAGGCUAGAGUCUUGUAGAGGGGGGUAGAAUUCCAGGUGUAGCGGUGAAAUGCGUAGAGAUCUGGAGGAAUACCGGUGGCGAAGGCGGCCCCCUGGACAAAGACUGACGCUCAGGUGCGAAAGCGUGGGGAGCAAACAGGAUUAGAUACCCUGGUAGUCCACGCCGUAACGAUGUCGAUUUGGAGGUUGUGCCCUUGAGGCGUGGCUUCCGGAGCUAACGCGUUAAAUCGACCGCCUGGGGAGUACGGCCGCAAGGUUAAAACUCAAAUGAAUUGACGGGGGCCCGCACAAGCGGUGGAGCAUGUGGUUUAAUUCGAUGCAACGCGAAGAACCUUACCUGGUCUUGACAUCCACAGAACUUAGCAGAGAUGGUUUGGUGCCUUCGGGAACUGUGAGACAGGUGCUGCAUGGCUGUCGUCAGCUCGUGUUGUGAAAUGUUGGGUUAAGUCCCGCAACGAGCGCAACCCUUAUCCUUUGUUGCCAGCGGUCCGGCCGGGAACUCAAAGGAGACUGCCAGUGAUAAACUGGAGGAAGGUGGGGAUGACGUCAAGUCAUCAUGGCCCUUACGACCAGGGCUACACACGUGCUACAAUGGCAUAUACAAAGAGAAGCGACCUCGCGAGAGCAAGCGGACCUCAUAAAGUAUGUCGUAGUCCGGAUUGGAGUCUGCAACUCGACUCCAUGAAGUCGGAAUCGCUAGUAAUCGUAGAUCAGAAUGCUACGGUGAAUACGUUCCCGGGCCUUGUACACACCGCCCGUCACACCAUGGGAGUGGGUUGCAAAAGAAGUAGGUAGCUUAACCUUCGGAGGGCGCUACACUUGAUCA
rnacentral:rRNA from 1 species